rnacentral:lncRNA from 1 species
AUAAUUUGGAGUGACCUCAUCCAGAGAAUAAUUUUCAUUUCACUUAUUGGACUUGGAGUUUUAGGGAACAUCAUCUUAUGUGUGAGACAUGUAUAUACUUUCAUCAUGGGUCGUGAGAACAAAAAUAUAGAUGUCAUUCUCAUCCACUUGGCUUUUGUAAACACAAUAAUUGUUUAUUGCAUAGGGGUCAGAGACAUAGCCACAAUUUUUUACAUCAGAAACUUCCUAGGUGAUGUUGGUUGUAAAACUGUAAUUUAUCUAGAAAGGGUUGCCCAUGGCCUCUCCAUCUGCACCACCUGUCUCCUCAGCGUGGUCCAGACUGUCACCAUUAGUCCCAGGACCACACUGUGGAGAAAGCUCAAACCAUAGACAGCAUGGCAUGUUAUUGCCUUUCUCCUCCUCUUUUGGAUCUUUAAGAUGACUCUUAUCUGA